UACGAAGGGGGCUAGCGUUGUUCGGAAUUACUGGGCGUAAAGCGCGCGCAGGCGGUUUUCCAAGUCAGUGGUGAAAGCCCGGAGCUCAACUCCGGAAAUGCCAUUGAAACUGCAAAACUUGAGUACGAGAGAGGUGAGUGGAAUUCCCAGUGUAGAGGUGAAAUUCGUAGAUAUUGGGAAGAACACCGGUGGCGAAGGCGGCUCACUGGCUCGUAACUGACGCUCAGGCGCGAUAGCGUGGGGAGCAAACAGG
rnacentral:rRNA from 1 species